UCGGUCAGGAUUAUGAAACCUCCAAAUCCACGUUUUCGAUUAUCAACCCCCACUUUUUUAUGAAUGAAUUUAUGUACCUAUUGGUCAGAGGAGGGCCUGUUCUCCCGCCUUCUGUGUAAAGUGAAGAUGAUUCUAUUCGGUGAAAGUUACAGCAGAUGAAUGGAUGAAUUGCACUUCACUGAGACCUGGACCCUCCCUGAGCUGAAUAGAUGUGGAGAGAAGCAGAAAACUGAAAGAUUAAAAUGAGCCAAAAAGCUAGAAACAAUGUCUUCCCUGCAGUGCAAUUAAAGUGCGUUUAAGUACAUUUAAUACCUAAACAUUGCUUCGAAAAUGAUUAUUUGCAUUAGUUUAAAUUAUUUAUAGAAUCACUUAAUUUAUGCAUGUUAAAACAAGUUUUUGUAAAAAUAGAAGACUUUACCAGACUAAUCUCCACAAUGACAAGCUCCUUAUGUAUCAUAUAGGUCAAUAGUUCCAGUGUGAUGUAAGAUUCAGGUUAAAUAAAAAAAACUUGUCUUGUGAAUGAACAUCAAAAGCUGUCUAAUGCAGCUGUAAGAUUUCAUUUUAUACAUAUGAACUAUAUUUUCUUAAUUUCAUGCAUGACCAGUGAAAGUUUUUUGCACAUUUGAUGAAAUAUGUAUACGUAUUUGUUUUAAAGACAUUUUAACAAGGUUUGAUGUUUUCAGCCAAUCACAAAUACAUUUUUGGGGACAAAAUAUGUAAUUAAAUUAAAACGUGAAAAACGUAAUUACUUGUUAUUACUGUUCAGCCUAUUUGGAAAAGUUAAGAAAAACCUCCUAAAUGAAGCUCUGUUUAGAAAAUACCAAGAGUAAACACAGCUUAAUCAGGAAUACUGAAUCUAAAAGUGUUUAAAUAUGAUUUUUUUUUUGGUCACUGCAUUUGUUAAUAUAAAUAACAAUAAAAAAGAUUGAGACAUCAAUGAAAAUGUAGAAACCCUGUUUUUUUGGAAGUUGUGUCUAAACUUUUGCCUGGUAAUAUAUGUACUUUGUGAUGUAUUUAAAUACUUAAUUACUGUUAAAACAUAAAUGGGAACCAAAUGGUAGAGCUGAAAAUUAAACUUCUGACAGGUAACAGAACCUCACUCAUGUGACCUUCAGCUAAGACCUCAUCAUCUGUUGUGUGUGUGUGUGUGUGUGUGUGUGUGUGUGUGUGUGUGUGUGUGUGCGCAUGCCUGCGUGUUUGUGUAUGCUUAUGUGUGUGUGUGUCAUGCACAUGUAGUAUUAGUUAUAAGUCCAAAAUGCACCAAAAUAAAUAGUGAAUUGUGAAUGACCAAGGCUAAAUUGUUUAAAGAUGGAAGGAUGAUUCUUACUGCUACUAUGAUGUGAAAGUCCAAAUUACAUAAUCAGCUGCUAAAAAUAUCAUCAUAUUUAGCACUGUUCACCCAAAUGAUAUAUAUUCCAAACUAUGUUAUAUUUCAGAAGCCUCAAACAGGAUGAAUUACAAAGCAGGGCACUUAUUAUGUGGACCACACCCAGCUCUAAUUCUAUCAGUGAUAGACAAUUAAUUGAUUGGACCUCUUUAUGUGAAUUUAAUAUGCCUUACUUUUUAUUUAAAAAAAUAAAAUGUCACAAGCUGGCCUAGUUAAUCAACUUUCCUUAACAUUAAACUACUGUAUGCCAAAUCUCAUAGUAUUUAUUCAUUGAUCAUAUGAGAUAUAAUAUCGUAAACAACAGAAGGGGCAAUGGAAUACAAAGCAUUCAUUUGAAAGAAAAGAUUUGAUUGAAAGCUUGAUUUAUAAUAAUAAAACACUUACAGAGACCCAGAUAAACAAUGUGCACGGGGCAACACGAAGAUGCAGAGACGUCUGCAUUGACUAGACUCCCUCCAGAAGUUCUUUUAUAAACCUUACAAAAUAAAAAUAAAAACACAAUUUAGCAUUAAAUGCAAAUAUAAAGUGUAAAGUGUAAAAAUCUUGAGUGAGCAGUAAUAUAGCCUGCAUUCGUACCUCACAUCUUCAUAUAUGUGACACAUACGUAUAUAUAAUCAGAAAUAACACAUAUAUCUUUUCAUUAUCACAAAUAUAACAUUUAUAUAUUUUAUUCAGUAUAAAUAUAGAAAGCAGUGAUAAAGUUCUGCGCUUCAUUGGGUCACUUUUCCUCUACGCACUCACUCAUGCUCGCACGCACGCAGGCACACACCACACACACACACACACACACACACGCGCGCGCGCGCACACGCACACACACACACACACACACACACACACACACACACACACA